rnacentral:miRNA from 1 species
UUUAUAAUAUUAUCAGGUUUGCU